AAAGAAUUAGUUAAAGCAUAAUAUGAGCUUGUCGAGUUCGUGUUGCCUGUAAUAGGGUAUUCUUUU
rnacentral:tRNA from 1 species